rnacentral:rRNA from 1 species
AUUGAACGCUGGCGGCAGGCCUAACACAUGCAAGUCGAGCGAGUGGCGGACGGGUGAGUAAUGUAUGGGGAACUGCCCGAUGGAGGGGGAUAACUACUGGAAACGGUAGCUAAUACCGCAUACCAUCGGAUGUACCCAGAUGGGAUUAGCUAGUAGGUGGGGUAAAGGCUCACCUAGGCGACGAUCCCUAGCUGGUCUGAGAGGAUGACCAGCCACACUGGAACUGAGACACGGCCCAGACUCCUACGGGAGGCAGCAGUGGGGAAUAUUGCACAAUGGGCGCAAGCCUGAUGCAGCCAUGCCGCGUGUAUGAAGAAGGCCUUCGGGUUGUAAAGUACUUUCAGCGGGGAGGCGUUACCCGCAGAAGAAGCACCGGCUAACUCCGUGCCAGCAGCCGCGGUAAUUC